GACUAUGACGUCACGCGUCCCCACGUCUAUAUUCAGCAAUGGGCGGGGCUCCAAGUGUCCACGCUCUGAGGAGAGUUGGCGACAGGUCCUAGGCCGUGAGUUAACACUGGGGAUUUGGACCCAGGACUUUGUCCUGUGUGACAGCCAAGCACUCUACUACUGAGCUACACUCCCUGCCCAACCUCAAGUACUUCGUUAAUGUCUUCAGAAGAUUGGCCUGCUUUGGAAUAUCAAAUACCUCCUCUUUGGAGGGGAAGGAAGAUGAAAGCAAUGACAUCCACACUCCCCCAGAGCAUCUCCCCAGCACAGCCUGAGCUCUUGCAAUGGGGUUUUGUCGGGAGAGCUCAUCACCUGGAGUGGUCAGGGAGGGCUCAGUCACUGUGCGGUCACUGGGGGAGAAGACCUCGUGGCUUCAGCCUAGCCUGCUGAGGAAGCUCUUGGAGUCAGGGUGUCAGAGGGCUGAGACCCCACAGGAAGUGCAGAGCCGGAUGGGAAGGAGAGGUGACCACAUCCUGCAUUUCUCUGUGGUUCCCCCAGGAACCAGUAACACAGCCUGGAGGCUCAGCAGAGGAAAACCAAGAAGCCAAAUGAAAACCACAAUGAAAUACUCCUUCAUAUCCGCCAGCAUUGCUAUCAUGAAAAGAAAGAUAAUAACAAGUGCUGGUGAAGAUGUGGGGAAAUAGGAGCCCUCAGGCACUGUUGGUGGAUAGCUGCUUUGCACAGUAAUCUAGCAUUCCCAAAAGGUUAAAUAGAGACUUGUCUUUCAACACAGCAAUUCCACUUUUAGGUGCAUACCCAAAAGAAAUGGAAAUUUUGGUCCACAUGAAAACCUGUCCCUUAAUGUUUGGAGCAGCAUUAGGCAUAAUGACCAAAAAAUGAAAAGUACCCAACAGUUCUGCUGUUAAGAUUGAGAAGUUUUUGUGGUGUCUGAA
rnacentral:lncRNA from 1 species